rnacentral:rRNA from 1 species
CCUACGGGCGGCAGCAGUGGGGAAUAUUGCACAAUGGGGGAAACCCUGAUGCAGCGACGCCGCGUGAGCGAUGAAGUAUUUCGGUAUGUAAAGCUCUAUCAGCAGGGAAGAAAAUGACGGUACCUGACUAAGAAGCCCCGGCUAACUACGUGCCAGCAGCAGCGGUAAUACGUAGGGGGCAAGCGUUAUCCGGAUUUACUGGUUGUACAGGGAGCGUAGACGGCGGUGCAAGUCGGAUGUGAAAGCCCGGGGCUAAACCCCGGGACUGCAUUUGGAACUGUGCUGCUAGAGUGUCGGAGAGGCAGGCGGAAUUCCUAGUGUAGCGGUGAAAUGCGUAGAUAUUAGGAGGAACACCAGUGGCGAAGGCGGGCUGCUGGACGAUGACUGACGUUGAGGCUCGAAAGCGUGGGGAGCAAACAGGAUUAGAUACCCCGGUAGUC